GAUGAAGAACGCAGCGAAAUGCGAUAAGUAGUGUGAAUUGCAGAAUUCCGUGAAUCAUCGAAUCUUUGAACGCACAUUGCGCCCUUUGGUAUUCCUUAGGGCAUGCCUGUUCGAGCGUCAUUUCAACCCUCAAGCCCUGCUUGGUGUUGGGCGUUUGUCCUGCCUCCGCGCGGGACUCGCCUCAAAGACAUUGGCGGCCGGUUUCCCUUUGCAGGCCACGAGCGCAGCACAGCGAGCGCUCUACGUGGACGCGGGGUCGGCGCACCAGAAGCCCUCUUUCUCGAAUUUUGACCUCGGAUCAGGUAGGGAUACCCGCUGAACUUAAGCAUAUCAAUAAGCGGAGGA
rnacentral:misc_RNA from 1 species